CUGCCAGUAGUCAUAUGCUUGUCUCAAAGAUUAAGCCAUGCAUGUCUAAGUACAUGCCGUAUUAAGGCGAAACCGCGAAUGGCUCAUUAAAUCAGUUACGGUUCCUUAGAUGUUGACUGUCUACAUGGAUAACUGUGGUAAUUCUAGAGCUAAUACAUGCACAAAAGCUUUGACCUUACCGGGAAAAGCGCAUUUAUUAGAACAAGACCAAUGGGGCCGCUCGCAAGGGCGGCUCCUCUCAGUGGUGACUCUGAAUAACUUUCGCUAAUCGCAUGGCCUACGAGCCGGCGAUGAAUCUUUCAAGUGUCUGCCUUAUCAACUGUCGAUGGUAGGUUAUGCGCCUACCAUGGUUGUAACGGGUAACGGGGAAUCAGGGUUCGAUUCCGGAGAGGGAGCCUGAGAAACGGCUACCACAUCCAAGGAAGGCAGCAGGCACGCAAAUUACCCAAUCCCAGAACGGGGAGGUAGUGACGAAAAAUAACAAUACGGGACUCUUAUGAGGCCCCGUAAUUGGAAUGAGAACAAUCUAAAUCCUUUAACGAGGAUCUAUUGGAGGGCAAGUCUGGUGCCAGCAGCCGCGGUAAUUCCAGCUCCAAUAGCGUAUAUUAAAGUUGUUGUGGUUAAAAAGCUCGUAGUUGGAUCUCAGUUCGAGUCAGGCGGUCCACUUGCCAGUGGUUACUGCCUGUUGCGCGAACACUUUACCGACCCGUCCUAUGGUGCUCUUCGCCGAGUGUCAUAGGCGAUCGGUACGUUUACUUUGAAAAAAUUAGAGUGCUCAAAGCAGGCUUCAAGCCCGAAUAAUGUUGCAUGGAAUAAUGGAAUAAGAUCUCGAUAUUAUUUUGUUGGUCUUCGAUAUCCGAGAUAAUGAUCAAUAGGGACAGACGGGGUGAUUCGUAUUGCGGCGCUAGAGGUGAAAUUCUUGGACCGUCGCAAGACGAACUAAAGCGAAAGCAUUUCACAAGAAUGUUUUCAUUAAUCAAGAACGAAAGUCAGAGGUUCGAAGGCGAUCAGAUACCGCCCUAGUUCUGACCAUAAACGAUGCCAACCAGUAAUUCGCCUGAGUUCCUUAAAUGACUCGGCGAGGGACUUCCGGGAAACCAAAGUGUUUCGGUUCCAGGGGAAGUAUGGUUGCAAAGCUGAAACUUAAAGAAAUUGACGGAAGGGCACCACCAGGAGUGGAGCCUGCGGCUUAAUUUGCCCCAACACGGGAAAACUCACCCGGCCCGGACACUGGAAGGAUUGACAGAUUGAGAGCUCUUUCUUGAUUCAGUGGGUGGUG
rnacentral:rRNA from 1 species